rnacentral:rRNA from 1 species
UACGGAGGGAGCUAGCGUUGUUCGGAAUUACUGGGCGUAAAGCGCGCGUAGGCGGCUUUGUAAGUUAGAGGUGAAAGCCUGGAGCUCAACUUCAGAAUUGCCUUUAAGACUGCAUCGCUUGAAUCCGGGAGAGGUGAGUGGAAUUCCGAGUGUAGAGGUGAAAUUCGUAGAUAUUCGGAAGAACACCAGUGGCGAAGGCGACUCACUGGACUCAUAUUGACGCUGAGGUGCGAAAGCGUGGGGAGCAAACAGG